UACGUAGGGUGCAAGCGUUAUCCGGAAUUAUUGGGCGUAAAGAGCUCGUAGGCGGUUUGUCGCGUCUGCCGUGAAAGUCCGGGGCUCAACUCCGGAUCUGCGGUGGGUACGGGCAGACUAGAGGUAUGCAGGGGAGAACGAAUUCCUGGUGUAGCGGUGAAAUGCGCAGAUAUCAGGAGGAACACCGGUGGCGAAGGCGGAUCUCUGGGCCAUUACUGACGCUGAGGAGCGAAAGCGUGGGGAGCGAACAGG
rnacentral:rRNA from 1 species